rnacentral:lncRNA from 1 species
GCUCCCUAGCUACAAGACCACUCCAUUUUACCCUUCACACUUUGCAUCAUCACUUCAUUUUCACCCUUAGACCAUUGCACACCACAUACACUCUUUGUCGUGCAUUCUCCUUAGCCUAACCUGAUUCUCUAAGGUUUUUGGGGCCUAUAUAUACAUGUUUACACCCCUUGGCAAAGGGUUCACACUCUCAUAUUCAUCAUUCAUCACAGAAAAUUCGUCUAUACAACCUCUAGGUAGCAAAACACCCCAAAACACCAUUCUAGUGCCUAGAAAACAUAACAGCCACUCCACCUUCUUCCACCCUCUUUGCCUAGUUCUCCA